rnacentral:lncRNA from 1 species
CGCGCAGCUGUCUCUGUUCUCCUGCAGGGCUCCGCAGUGCGGCUCCAGGAGGUGCAGCACAUAUCUGCUGAUGGUGGGCUGAGCGCUCACAGAGCCCACGCAGCUGUCAGCCACGCAGUGAAGGCAUUUGCGGAAGGAGAGGACGACGAUCUGAGCCACGAGAUCAGAGUCCAGGUCGGUCCUGAAGGAGACCAAGGCCAGGAUGCUCUCGCAGACCACGAGCCACAGCUGUUCCGCCA